UACGAGGGGGGCGAGCGUUGUUCGGAAUUAUUGGGCGUAAAGGGUGCGUAGGCGGUUUGGUAAGUCUGAUGUGAAAUCUAUGGGCUCAACUCAUAGUCUGCAUCGGAAACUGCCGGGCUUGAGUGUGGGAGAGGAGUGUGGAAUUCCUGGUGUAGCGGUGAAAUGCGCAGAUAUCAGGAAGAACACCUAUGGCGAAGGCAGCACUCUGGGACGGUACUGACGCUGAGACGCGAAAGCGUGGGGAGCGAACAGG
rnacentral:rRNA from 1 species